UAUGGGCAAGGGAGCCCUCCCUUCCCUCCCCCAAAAAAGAAAGGGAGAGGGGUUUAAAAUAAAUCAAUUAAUUAAAUGCACGGGCUUUUUAUAAAUAGCUCCAGCUCCGGCAUAUUUGUAAAUUCAGUGGGGUUUUUUGUGUCAAUGACAUCACCAUUCUCCCCAUGGCAACUCCCGACGAUAUCGAAAUUGCCAAGCAACGUUGGAGAAGAUUCGGUGCCCCCCAAACGAGCCCGAUGAUUUAAUUGAGAGAGCCAAGGGUGCCUGGGUGUUCUGGGGAAGCAUGGGGAGAGCCGCGAUGGGGACUCUGGCAGGCGGCAGUUUUCGUCGGCUGGAGAUCCUUGGAUGUCUGAGACGAGGGCUUUGUGGAGCCUUGGCUCUUCAGCCGCUGUCCCUUUUUUAAGUCAAAAGCGGGAAGGAGAAGGAGGGAGGCUGGGGGGAGGUGGGGGGCAGGGCGUUCUCUUUCUCAUCCCUAACAUGCAAUCCAGGUGACUAAGCAAGGGAACGGGGACUGACUCACGCCUAGGUUAUGUGCCUCCGUUUUUUAUUCUUAAUUCGAUUUGAUUUUUUCGCUUGGGAAACUUGGAGCGAUUAUCUCAGCUCUCCCCUUCUUCCCGCCCUCCUUCCCCCUUGGGUACUAAGAGGAUGCGAUAACCAGUGGGGCUCUUCUGGGCCAGUGGUUCCUGACGUGCUGUGUGGCCCUGAGGUGUCUCUGGUCAGAGGAGAACAAGCAGGGAGGGCUGUUUCCUGGGUUGUAGACAUGCAGCAGCCUGCAGACAGAGAGCUGUAAGAGCCCCAGCUGCUGAGAAAGGAAGGAGCCAAGAGAACCCGACCGGACAGUGUCCCAGUCUCCGAAGGAUUCCUCUGAGGCUCAGGAGCCUGUCAGAUCAAUUGAAGAGGGAGGAGCUCGUCUUGAGCAGCUUUCUCCUUCAAAGACCAGGAACUGCACCAAAUACGAGCAAAAAGAAAACCCUGCCCUCAAGACGCUGACAUUCUAAAGAGGGAAGACAGCGCACAAAAGAGAGCGGAUACGUGGCAGGAGGCAGGAGGUGGCAGGAGAAUUGAAAGUACCCAGCAGAGGGACAUAAUUUUGAAGUCCAGAAAGACAGGAAUGGGUCUGGGAGGGUAAUAAAGGCAAGUCAUCCUGGGGUCCUCCACAAAAUGGAGGCUCCAGUAGGAACCCGCCAGUGGAUAAAUGGGG